AGCAGUCGCCGCGGGAAUACGUAGGGGGCAAGCGUUAUCCGGAAUAACUGGGCGUAAAGGGUGCGCAGGUGGUUUAACAAGUUAGUGGUGAAAGGCAUAGGCUCAACCAAUGUAAGCCAUUAAACCUGUUUAACUUGAGUGCAGGAGAGGAAAGUGGAAUUCCUAGUGUAGCGGUGAAAUGCGUAGAUAUUAGGAGGAAUACCAGUGGCGAAGGCGACUUUCUGGACUGCAGCUGACACUGAGGCACGAAAGCGUGGGGAGCAAACAGGAUUAGAUACCCCCGUAGUCCCUGUCUCUUAUACA
rnacentral:rRNA from 1 species